UACGUAGGGUGCGGGCGUAAUCGGAAUUACUGGGCGUAAAGCGUGCGCAGGCGGCCUCUUAAGUCAGAUGUGAAAUCCCCGGGCUUAACCUGGGAACUGCGUUUAAAAACUGGGGAGGCUAGAGUGUGGAAGAGGGGGGUGGAAUUCCAGGUGUAGCAGUGAAAUGCGUAGAGAUCUGGAGGAACACCGAUGGCGAAGGCAGCCCCCUGGGCUAACACUGACGCUCAUGCACGAAAGGCGUGGGGAGCAAACAGGAUUA
rnacentral:rRNA from 1 species